rnacentral:rRNA from 1 species
ACUCAAAGGAAUAGACGGGGGCCCGCACAAGCGGCGGAGCAUGUUGCUUAAUUCGAUGCAACGCGAAGAACCUUACCUAGGUUGAACUACGCGGGAAAAGCCAUGGAGACAUGGUGUCCUUCGGGGUCCGCGAUAGGUGGUGCAUGGCUGUCGUCAGCUCGUGUCGUGAGAUGUUGGGUUAAGUCCCGCAACGAGCGCAACCCUUAUUCGAUGUUGCCAGCGCGUAAUGGCGGGGACUCGUCGAAGACUGCCGUGGUCAACACGGAGGAAGGUGGGGACGACGUCAAGUCAUCAUGCCCCUUACGUCUAGGGCUGCAAACAUGCUACAAUGGCCAGUACAAAGGGCUGCAAAUCCGCGAGGAUAAGCCAAUCCCAAAAAGCUGGUCUCAGUUCGGAUCGGAGUCUGCAACUCGACUCCGUGAAGCUGGAGUCGCUAGUAAUCCCGGAUCAGCAAUGCCGGGGUGAAUACGUUCCCGGGCCUUGUACACACCGCCCGU